AAGAACGCUUGGACACUGCUAGCAUAAUGGACAGGUUUUUGACGGGGCGCCCACACAAACGCAAAGCAGAAGAUGAAGCAUCGCCAAAUAUGUUUCCAAGCCAAAGACUAGAAAAUAUGGUGAAGCAUGUCUUCCCUUUGGGUUCACAUGGACAAGUGCCAAGGUAGGUUUGACGCCUCUGCCUUUCUAAAUGGAGGGACAGUAACUGCGUGUGUAUAUGUAAGCGUGUAAAACCUGCAGAUAGUCAGAUUAACAGGAUUUUGUCUCUAUCUGCAAUUCAUCUCAUGUAAACAAUAACAUGGCGCACAGCAUGACGUGAAAAAAGGCACAUACCUUUGACGUUGCAUGACGAACUCUGUAUUCCUCGUCCACACGUAAAGGCAAAAAAGGAGUUUUAAAAAAAUCUGUUUUCGGUGAUUCGAUACGCCGUUUACGUGUGGACGAAAGGCCCAAAACGCAUAGAAACAGCUGCAUUUUCAAAAAUACCCAUGUAGGUGUGGACGUAGCGUAAGAGAGUUUUAUUACUAACCGUAAUCUAUUGCGGUUUACUUUUAUUUGCUUAAUUGUUUACUAAAUGUUUGAGGUGUGAAAUAAACCGCAAUGGAGCAAAAUAUGGGUGUGUGUGGUUGGAGGAUGUGUUUACGUGGUGGUGGUGGGGGGCACGAACAUUUUUCUUGUAAAACAAAGGGGGGCCUAGCAAACAAAGUUUGGGAUCCACUGGUUUAGACGACCCCAAAUAUGUUCAGACAUGUGGGAAGUUAAGGUCAGAGGUCAAGUUUCCUGGAAACUUGACUCACAUGACCCCUAUGAUUUUCAUAUUGCUAUCACAUCUGUCUGUCCUACAUUUUGCUGCUUCCAUCAAAGUCAAAAUGAGCUAAUGUUGUUCUGAAAAUGACACUUUCUCAGUUUAAACUUUUCAAAUGUUCUGCUGUGAAUAUAAUGUGGGUUUAUUGGAUUUGCACAUACUGCUUUUUGUCAUUUAUGUAUAUAUAUUUUGUACAUUGAAACUUUGGGUGGCUGGCCUAUAGUGUGUGUGUGUGUGUGUGUGUGUGUGUGAGAGAGACGACAUACAAGCAAUAAUGUAAAGAAAAUGUGAAUGAAUAAGUUUGUAUUUAUAAAUGUUUUAUAAAUGUUACUUUUCAUCGCUCUGUAAAGCAUUAACAGAGAGAGAUGACUGUGUGAUGAUUAAAUCAAUAAACAUGAUACUGAAG
ensembl:lncRNA